AACGCGAAGAACCUUACCUGGCCUUGACAUGCAUUUCUAAGUUGGUGAAAGCCAGCGAGUGUAGCAAUACACAACUUGCACAGGUGCUGCAUGGUUGUCGUCAGCUCGUGUCGUGAGAUGUUGGGUUAAGUCCCGCAACGAGCGCAACCCCUAUCCAAUGUUGCUAAUCCCGCAAGGGAUGCACUCUUUGGAAACUGCCUUCGAUAAGAAGGAGGAAGGUGGGGACGACGUCAAAUCCUCAUGGCCCUUAUGUCCGGGGCUACACACGUGUUACAAUGGCCGGUACAAUGGGAAGCAAUGCCGCAAGGUGGAGCCAAACCCACAAAGCCGGCCCCAGUUCAGAUUGUGGGCUGCAACUCGCCCACAUGAAGGCGGAAUCGCUAGUAAUCGCUGAUCAGCAGGCAGCGGUGAAUACGUUCCCGGGCCUUGUACACACCGCUAGUC
rnacentral:rRNA from 1 species